UGGGGAAUAUUGGACAAUGGGGGCAACCCUGAUCCAGCGAUGCCGCGUGAGUGAAGAAGGCCUUCGGGUCGUAAAGCUCUUUAGGUUGGGAAGAAGGUUUUAAGGGGAUAAUACUUAGAGCUUGACGGUACCGACAGAAUAAGCACCGGCAAACUCUGUGCCAGCAGCCGCGGUAAUACAGAGGGUGCGAGCGUUAAUCGGAAUUACUGGGCGUAAAGGGCGCGUAGGCGGUAACAUGUGUGUGAUGUGAAAGCCCCGGGCUUAACCUGGGAAGUGCAUCGCAAACUAUGUAACUAGAGUAUAUGAGAGGGUGGCGGAAUUUCCGGUGUAGCGGUGAAAUGCGUAGAGAUCGGAAGGAACGUCGAUGGCGAAGGCAGCCACCUGGCAUGAUACUGACGCUGAGGCGCGAAAGCGUGGGGAGCGAACAG
rnacentral:rRNA from 1 species